GUGUCCGACACGUCUGCGGGAGCAAAUGUUUGUGGGCUCGAUUUACACGGUUCCGUUGCUGCUGAUCAAUGAACAGAGGUAGAGAGGGCGCAGAGCUAAGGGGUUGGGUUGUGGGCUCGUUUGGGAGGGGUGGCAGGCGCGGUACCCGCCGCUCUACGGGCCGUGGCUGCCGCUCCCGGUGAGGCGGGGGCGGGGACGGAGGCGGAGGCCUAAGGGCGGCAGCCGCGGCGGCAUAAUAGUUGUCGUCGUCGUGGUCAUGCCGUGGAAGCCUCGGGGCAGGCGCAGACCGCUCAAGGGCGUCGGCCGCCAGCCCAAGGGGGUCGGACGAGGCGGCGGACCCAAGGCCUUGAUGGGCGGCGGCGGAGGCGGCAGGAUGCGCCAGAUGGGAGGAGACGUCCGAAUAAGCCGGCGGCGCGGGAUGAUGCGGGUCCCGAUGGUCCGGCACGUUCCAAUAUAUGGACAACAACUUCCUUCUGGACACUCCUACGCUGCAGAAGGUACGACACCGGAACCGUACCCAACCAAAGACAAGUAAUAACCGAAGAAGAAACGACGGUAAGGCACCAUACAACCUCGAAAACAAGACUAGACGCAGGCUCAUGUACUGAUGUCCCUCUUUGGUCCUAUACAACGAACAUGAUAACGACGAAGUGAACGACGUUAACGGUACAACGAACCACGGUGUUUUCCUCGUCUCCACACCACUCGACCUAAACUAGUAGCCGCCAAACGAAUAUUAUAUAUGUAUACAAGUAAGAGGGAGAUGAGACAGCCCAUAAGACUAAACAUGUACAUACGCAUCUUUUCUAUAUUACCUUCCUCUGACCAAGUGAUAGUAUACACAACAUACUGGAUAUUAGCAUCUUACUAUCAUAAACAGAAGGCCUUUUUUUUCACACGGACAUCGAGAGCGCUGA
rnacentral:rRNA from 1 species